AUUGAACGCUGGCGGCAUGCCUUACACAUGCAAGUCGAACGGCAGCACGGGUGCUUGCACCUGGUGGCGAGUGGCGAACGGGUGAGUAAUACAUCGGAACGUACCUUAUCGUGGGGAUAACGCAGCGAAAGCUGUGCUAAUACCGCAUACGCCCUGAGGGGGAAAGCGGGGGAUCGAAAGACCUCGCGCGAUUAGAGCGGCCGAUGCCUGAUUAGCUUGUUGGUGGGGUAAAAGCCCACCAAGGCGACGAUCAGUAGCUGGUCUGAGAGGACGAUCAGCCACACUGGGACUGAGACACGGCCCAGACUCCUACGGGAGGCAGCAGUGGGGAAUUUUGGACAAUGGGCGCAAGCCUGAUCCAGCCAUGCCGCGUGUGUGAAGAAGGUCUUCGGAUUGUAAAGCACUUUAAGUUGGGAGGAAGGGUAGUAACCUAAUACGUUGCUACUUUGACGUUACCGACAGAAUAAGCACCGGCUAAC
rnacentral:rRNA from 1 species